UGGGGAAUAUUGCACAAUGGGCGCAAGCCUGAUGCAGCCAUGCCGCGUGUGUGAAGAAGGCCUUCGGGUUGUAAAGCACUUUCAGCGAGGAGGAAGGUGGUGAACUUAAUACGUUCAUCAAUUGACGUUACUCGCAGAAGAAGCACCGGCUAACUCCGUGCCAGCAGCCGCGGUAAUACGGAGGGUGCAAGCGUUAAUCGGAAUUACUGGGCGUAAAGCGCACGCAGGCGGUUUGUUAAGUCAGAUGUGAAAUCCCCGGGCUCAACCUGGGAACUGCAUUUGAAACUGGCAAGCUAGAGUCUCGUAGAGGGGGGUAGAAUUCCAGGUGUAGCGGUGAAAUGCGUAGAGAUCUGGAGGAAUACCGGUGGCGAAGGCGGCCCCCUGGACGAAGACUGACGCUCAGGUGCGAAAGCGUGGGGCAGCAAACAGGAUUAGAUACCCUGGUAGUCCAGCGCUGUAAACGAUGUCGAUUUGGAGGUUGUGCCCUUGAGGCGUGGCUUCCGGAGCUAACGCGUUAAAUCGACCGCCUGGGGAGUACGGCCGCAAGGUUAAAACUCAAAUGAAUUGAC
rnacentral:rRNA from 1 species